AGGACGACGCUGGCGGCGUGCUUAACACAUGCAAGUCGAGCGAGAAAGCCCCUUCGGGGGUGAGUACAGCGGCGAACGGGUGAGUAACACGUGGGCAACCUGCCCCGGAGACUGGGAUAACGUCCCGAAAGGGACGCUAAUACCGGAUGAUGCGUGACCUGCCAAGUGGGUCACGUCAAAUGGUAGUCUCGGCCUCUGCUCCGGGAUGGGCCCGCGCCGGAUUAGCUUGUUGGUGAGGUAACGGCUCACCAAGGCGACGAUCCGUAGCUGGUCUGAGAGGACGAUCAGCCACACUGGGACUGAGACACGGCCCAGACUCCUACGGGAGGCAGCAGUGGGGAAUCUUGCGCAAUGGGUGAAAGCCUGACGCAGCAACGCCGCGUGAGCGAAGACGGCCUUCGGGUUGUAAAGCUCUGUCAGGAGGGACGAAGCCACUCGGGUGAACAGCCCAGAGGGUGACGGUACCUCCACAGGAAGCCCCGGCUAACUACGUG
rnacentral:rRNA from 1 species